AGCGAACGCUAGCGGCGUGCCUAACACAUGCAAGUCGAGCGAGAAAGCGGGGGCAACUCCGUGAGUAAAGCGGCGCACGGGUGAGUAACGCGUGGGUAAUCUACCCUCGAGUGUGGAAUAACCUGCCGAAAGGUGGGCUAAUGCCGCAUAAGACCACGGGAGGGAACUUCCGGGGUUAAAGGUGGGGAUUUCCGAAAGGGGACCUAUCGCUUGAGGAUGAGCCCGCGUCCCAUCAGCUUGUUGGCGGGGUAAAGGCCCACCAAGGCGACGAUCCGUAGCUGGUCUGAGAGGAUGGUCAGCCACACUGGAACUGAGACACGGUCCAGACUCCUACGGGAGGCAGCAGUGGGGAAUAUUGGACAAUGGCGCAAGCCUGAUCCAGCCAUGCCACGUGGGUGAAGAAGGCCUUCGGGUUGUAAAGCCCUUUUGUUGGGAAAGAAAAGCAGUCGGUUAAUACCCGAUUGUUCUGACGGUACCCAAAGAAUAAGCACCGGCUGACUUCGUGCCAGCAGCCGCAGUAA
rnacentral:rRNA from 1 species